CCAUGGCGAAGUCUGAUCAAUGUUGACGUCACAACAGCUCUCUGACAAGCAACGAAUCUGAAAGAUAACAUAAUGCAUAUCUUUCAUAUUCGUUGCUUGUAAG